UGAGGAAUAUUGGUCAAUGGGCGCAAGCCUGAACCAGCCAUCCCGCGUGCAGGAUGACGGCCCUAUGGGUUGUAAACUGCUUUUGUACAGGAAGAAAAAUCCCUACGUGUAGGGACCUGCCGGUACUGUACGAAUAAGCAUCGGCUAACUCCGUGCCAGCAGCCGCGGUAAUACGGAGGAUGCAAGCGUUAUCCGGAUUCAUUGGGUUUAAAGGGUGCGUAGGCGGCUUUUUAAGUCAGUGGUGAAAUCCUGCCGCUUAACGGUAGAAUUGCCAUUGAUACUGAAGAGCUUGAGUACAGUUGAGGUAAGCGGAAUGUGUAGUGUAGCGGUGAAAUGCUUAGAUAUUACACAGAACACCAAUUGCGAAGGCAGCUUACUAAACUGCAACUGACGCUGAUGC
rnacentral:rRNA from 1 species